rnacentral:antisense_RNA from 1 species
CUUCACCGAUCCCAGCAGCAACGGCCGAUCCACCGGACGGCCCUGACCAUAGGUCGCCAGCAACGCCUGCGCCUC